CUUCCUCCAAAGUGGCAACAGUGAACACAAACAAGCAACAAUGAAGUUUCUGGUAAUUGUGCUUUUGACGGCCUCCGCUUGCGCUGCUGAGAUUGAGAAGCGAGAGGCGGAUCCAGGAUAUGGCUCUUAUCGUCCUUCGUAUGGCUCUGGUUAUAGUCAUCCCUAUGGGGUGCAUCCCCACUACAAGAGGUCUGCCGAUCCAGAACCAGAGCCUGAGGCUUCCUACCCUUCCGGACACUACCCUGUCUACCAAUCACAUGGCAGCCAUUAUGGAAAGAGGUCUACUGAUCCCUAUCCUUACCCUUAUCCCUAUCCCUACCCUUAUGCUGAGCCUUCCUAUGACUAUGGCUACCAAUAUCCUUCCUAUUACUCCGGUUAAGGAGAAGCUUUACCACUGACAUCCUUCAAGCAUAACUGUGUUAUUUCCUAUUGGUGCUGAUUUUGGAGUGUUUUGUGUACAGACUUACGAUCUGAAUUUAAAUAGCAAAAUACAUUUGGUUUAAAUUCCACUGACACGUAUGAUCAGAAAAUUAAACAUACGAAGAAAAAAGUAUUUGUGUGAAAAUAAAACUAACAAUUACAUAAAUGAA